rnacentral:lncRNA from 1 species
AAGAACCGGAUGAAUUCAGUUUACCAAAGUCAUCUUUUUUCAGGAGACUGAGCGAAGACCCCAACACUGGUCUGGUAAGAUGUUUUAUGUUAGUUUCAGACCAGCACACUUAAGAAAAUACAAUUAUGCUAUUCAAAGGUCAAUGAUAUUGCAAAGUGCAUUGGCGGAGGUCAGCACUGUGAUGUAUCUUUCUCCAAAGGUAAUGAAGGAGCUGAUGGCCAAUGCCUCCUGGAGCACAGAUCUGACCUUGCUGCAGCAGCUGACUCAUGCUGUCCUACACAGAAUAGAAGCAGACGGCCCUCACCUCCUGACAUCGGACGACAUCCUCUCCCUCUCCCAGCUGAUUGAUGGGAUUGCAGCUGGCACUUCCUUUGCAGGAACAAAUUCAAUAGAGGCCAUGCUAUCCAUUGCUACAAAUUAUGUAAACUUUGCCAACGUGAUGCUGGAGCCAGACAUGGCUGCGCAGUGGUUUGGUCUAACCGAGUAUGGGGUUAGUGUUGGACCAUUUACUAUAAUCAAAAGCAUUGAUCAUCUCACUGAGGCUCUUGCAGACACACUGGUUGCAGAGCAAAGAGACUUCUCUCUUUCCACUAAAAACAUAGUUGUGUACAUGAAGUUGCAGAAACUUUCUCAGGAAAGCUGUAAACAAGUCUUCAGACCAUCUCAGCAGCACAGUCUCGAUGAGUUGAUUAUACCGGACUCUGAACUCCAGAGGGUACACGCUCUAGGACACCAGGAGGUGAUGUUUAUUCAUACCCACUACACCCACCUCAGUAAAAUUAUGUCUGGACCAGAUGAGCCUGUGCUGAGGCAACAAGACAAAGGAUCAAGUGUUCUACAAGGUCACCUAACUUCUGCUGUCAUAUCGGCCACCGUCAGAGAUGCUGCAAAGGGUCUAACUGCUCCUGUGGCCGUUCAGUACACCCUUUCUUCAUCACAUGUGGUAUGGUCCAUUGUUCUGAGCGGCCCAUGGGUAAAAUAUAGAUACUACGAUGUUUCAGUCAGGGCUCGAAUUACACACGGCUCCUGGGGGAGCCCGGUGUUACGGUUGGGGAGAUGGGGUGUCGUCCAUCCAAUCACCGUUGCAAAAACUUUGUGA